GUCUAGGUAGCUUAAAAUAAAAGCAUUGGCCUUGUAAGCCAAAGAUUGCAGCUAGCAAAUGCCUUAGAUA
rnacentral:tRNA from 1 species